rnacentral:sRNA from 1 species
AGACUCCUAGAAACUAACCAAGCUUCUUCUUGCUUCUCAAAGCUUUGAUCGUGUAGCCGUAGUCCGUAUGAGUCUUUGUCUUUGUAUCUUCCAGCAAGG